AUGUUGCCCCUCCUCAUGGAGCCGCUUCCACCCAUGAUUCCCGAGGCCGCCGCCUCGAGGCACAAACAUCAAACAUCCGGGGCCGCCGCCCCGACAUCCACCAACCUCAACGACAAGAAUGGCGCAAACAUCUGCAUCUGGCUCUCCAAGGCGAUGCCUCCAAGGAGGAUGCAACGUAGCCUCCAUCAUCGCCCCUCCGAGAGAUCAGAGCUACGGAUUUCUCCCGGAGAGCCCAUCCACCACGGGGUGGAAAGAGGCUCCAUGACCACGCCUCCAACGAGGAAAAUGGCACCAAGGUGA
rnacentral:rRNA from 1 species